rnacentral:rRNA from 1 species
GUGGCUUCUGAGUUGCUUAUUGCACCACAUGUGUUUUUCUUUGAAACAAACUUGCUUUGGCGGUGGGCCCAGCCUGCCGCCAGAGGUCUAAACUUACAACCAAUUUUUUAUCAACUUGUCACACCAGAUUAUUACUUAAUAGUCAAAACUUUCAACAACGGAUCUCUUGGUUCUCGCAUCGAUGAAGAACGCAGCGAAAUGCGAUACGUAAUAUGAAUUGCAGAUAUUCGUGAAUCAUCGAAUCUUUGAACGCACAUUGCGCCCUCUGGUAUUCCGGAGGGCAUGCCUGUUUGAGCGUCGUUUCUCCCUCAAACCGCUGGGUUUGGUGUUGAGCAAUACGACUUGGGUUUGCUUGAAAGACGGUAGUGGUAAGGCGGGAUCGCUUUGACAAUGGCUUAGGUCUAACCAAAAACAUUGCUUGCGGCGGUAACGUCUACCACGUAUAUCUUCAAACUUUGACCUCAAAUCAGGUAGGACUACCCGCUGAACUUAAGCAUAUCAAUAAGCGGAGGAA